rnacentral:rRNA from 1 species
UACGGAGGGUGCGAGCGUUGUUCGGAAUUAUUGGGCGUAAAGCGCGCGUAGGCGGCUCGGUAAGUCUCACUGUGAAAGCCCGGGGCUCAACCCCGGGAGGCCAGGGGAUACUGCUGGGCUAGAGACAGGUAGAGGCUGGUAGAAUUUCGGGUGUAGCGGUGGAAUGCGUAGAGAUCCGAAGGAAUACCGGAGGCGAAGGCGGCCAGCUGGGCCUGAUCUGACGCUGAGGUGCGAAAGCGUGGGGAGCGAACAGG